rnacentral:rRNA from 1 species
GAGUUUGAUCCUGGCUCAGAUUGAACGCUGGCGGCAGGCCUAACACAUGCAAGUCGAGCGGUAGAGAGAAGCUUGCUUCUCUUGAGAGCGGCGGACGGGUGAGUAAUGCCUAGGAAUCUGCCUGGUAGUGGGGGAUAACGCUCGGAAACGGACGCUAAUACCGCAUACGUCCUACGGGAGAAAGCAGGGGACCUUCGGGCCUUGCGCUAUCAGAUGAGCCUAGGUCGGAUUAGCUAGUUGGUGAGGUAAUGGCUCACCAAGGCGACGAUCCGUAACUGGUCUGAGAGGAUGAUCAGUCACACUGGAACUGAGACACGGUCCAGACUCCUACGGGAGGCAGCAGUGGGGAAUAUUGGACAAUGGGCGAAAGCCUGAUCCAGCCAUGCCGCGUGUGUGAAGAAGGUCUUCGGAUUGUAAAGCACUUUAAGUUGGGAGGAAGGGCAGUAAAUUAAUACUUUGCUGUUUUGACGUUACCGACAGAAUAAGCACCGGCUAACUCUGUGCCAGCCGCC